AGUGAACGCUGGCGGCGUGCCUAAUACAUGCAAGUCGAACGGAGUGGCGCACGGGUGAGUAACGUAUAGCUAAUCUGCCCUACACUAGAGGACAACAGGUGGAAACGACUGCUACUACUCUAUAGUGUAGGAUGAGGCUAUAUUGUAUCAGCUAGUUGGUGAGGUAAUGCCUCACGAAGGCUAUGACGGAUAACUGGUCUGAGAGGAUGAUCAGUCAAACUGGAACUGAGAAACGGUGCAGACUCCUACGGGAUGGAGCAGUAGGGAAUAUUGCUCAGUGGGGGAAACCCUGAAGGAGCAAGGCCGCGUGGAGGAUGAGACUUUUCGGAGAGUAAACUCCUUUUGUUAGGGAAGCGGUACCUAACGAAUAAGCACCGGCUAACUCCGUGCCAGCAGCCGCGGUAAUAC
rnacentral:rRNA from 1 species